rnacentral:rRNA from 1 species
CCUACGGGUCGCACCAGUGGGGAAUAUUGCACAAUGGGCGCAAGCCUGAUGCAGCCAUGCCGCGUGUAUGAAGAAGGCCUUCGGGUUGUAAAGUACUUUCAGCGGGGAGGAAGGUGCUGAGGUAAUAACCUCAGCAAUUGACGUUACCCGCAGAAUGAAGCACCGGCUAACUCCGUGCCAGCAGCCGCGGCAAUACGGAGGGUGCAAGCGUUAAUCGGAAUUACUGGGCGUAAAGCGCACGCAGGCGGUCUGUCAAGUCGGAUGUGAAAUCCCCGGGCUCAACCUGGGAACUGCAUUCGAAACUGGCAGGCUAGAGUCUUGUAGAGGGGGGUAGAAUUCCAGGUGUAGCGGUGAAAUGCGUAGAGAUCUGGAGGAAUACCGGUGGCGGAGGCGGCCCCCUGGACAAAGACUGACGCUCAGGUGCGAAAGCGUGGGGAGCAAACAGGAUUAGAUACCCGAGUAGUC